rnacentral:rRNA from 1 species
UACGAAGGGGGCUAGCGUUGCUCGGAAUCACUGGGCGUAAAGCGCACGUAGGCGGAUCUUUAAGUCAGGGGUGAAAUCCUGGAGCUCAACUCCAGAACUGCCUCUGAUACUGGGGAUCUUGAGUCCGGAAGAGGUAAGUGGAACUGCGAGUGUAGAGGUGAAAUUCGUAGAUAUUCGCAAGAACACCAGUGGCGAAGGCGGCUUACUGGUCCGGUACUGACGCUGGAGGUGCGAAAGC